AUAAAAUAAGAUGCCCAUUUGAAGUGUAGACAGUUUAAUUUGUAAGGUUAAUUAUAGGAAAAAAGAAUAUACGUAAAUCCUCAUUUAUACCUCCUAAAUUCCGUACAAUCAUUAAGUCGUCACUAUAUUUCCAUAUCCAUGUUGUGGUCAUGGUCCUUGGUAUCCUGAUUUCUAAAGAACAGUGAAAAUUAUGCAUCCAGAGCAGAAGUCUUAGAAUCCCACCCCACUUCUACAUACUACCAGAAUAUUUCGGAUCUCUCUCUAUUCUUCUAUUAUUUUAGCACCCACGUCAGUGUAUCUUUAAUUCUGAAAAUUUCAGCUAACAUCAGAUCAAUUAGAUGGGAGAAAAAACAUAUGUGUAAAAUUGGAAAAAAAAUCACUGAGAUGAAAAAGGGACAAAAAAAUACACAAUCAAAGUUGUGUACUUCGUAAAGUCUUUUCUCCCCUACAUGUGACAUAAAAGUGUAUCUUACUUCUGUGUCCCUCCAAAAAUGUCUGAAUUCUAAGUUAAUGGAGAUUUUUGAAUAUUAUUUGAACUUUAAUCACUAAGAUUUCCUGGCUAUUAGGGACAACACAUUCUAUGGAAACGGACACACAGGUAGAAGGGCCAUGUUUCUCUAGCAUCCUCAUCCUUCUCAUCUCAGGACACUGGAUCCAUUAGUGGAGAAAUGGAGGAAGUCAUUUCUAAAUGUCUUACUGAAGGAAAUAAGCUUCAGGAGGAAGGAAAUCAGAAUAAAUAAGAAGGAAAUAAGAAUAAAACAUUCUUACACUACCCAAAAUAUCAUCACUUGAAAAGGGGCAGGGAACUAACAGCAAGCCACCAAAGAAUGAAUCCAUCAUGGCACCAUAUCUUAGAUCAUUCCUGAGCUACUUCUCAAAAGAGUUCAUAAAAUGAGGUUUAGAUUUCUAUUAGCAUAUUAUAUUUUAACUGUAAAAAGCAUCUACCAAUAGAGCAUCAGGGUGAGCCUCAGAGCUCUUAGUGAGCUCUGUUUCCAGCUACACAUUGACAGUCAUCUCUGCUGUAUGGAAAACCACCAUACACAGAUCUCACCCCUGGAGACAAGCAGCACUGUGGAGAUGGAAAUGGGCAUAACCAAAUUUUAAAAAUCAUAGUUUAACACAAAUAAUGAGCAAAAUGUCUGAUGGGGUAGGGGAUAAGAGGCCUGGAGGCUUUGAGGUGAGCUCUGAGAGACAGCCUGGGAUGAUAUAUUUAGUUAAAAGGUGAAAUUAUUACCUUUCUUCUAGGAAAUGAGUCAAGGUUUGGAAGAAGAGGUAGAAGUUUUAUAACUUUUUGGAGCAAAGGGAAAGAGUUUAAUAAACUGUGUUGGGAGACAUGAAGACAUGUUCCAGGCAAACAUUAAUGAAGUGAAUCUCUCAGGACCAAGGAGCUCCAUCCAGCAUAAACUCACCCAGUGGAAACAUGUUUUAAUAUUGCUCAAUACUAGCUGUGUUAGAACAUAUUGUACCCUUUGUUUGAGAAGUCCACUUCAUGUAUCCCCUUCCUGAAUUUCAGAAAGCCAUGUGGUUGACCCUUCCACUCUUUCCAGGACCCCAUUUUCCCAUUCUUCAGCCAUACUAGGCCAGUCCAUAAAUCUAGGUGUACUUUCAGCACUUUCUCUGCACAUGCUCUUGAAGGUGUCAUUUUCUUUUGUGAAGCAUCAUUCCCUUUGAUCUUUUUUUAAUGCUCACUAAAUGCUAACUCCUUUUCAAAUAUUCUCCUCAUCCUUCUAAUUUGAUUUUAAUCUCUUCCUCCUCUGGACACCGUUAGCAUUUUCUUCUUAUGAUGAAAUUGAACCUUUUUCAUCAUAUAUGAGGGUUAUCUUGCCCUAAUCAAUGCUCACUUCCAAUAUAUUAUCAAAGUUUAAGGAUAUAUGGACAUUUACUUUAACAUUCUUUGGGUCCUUGCCUGUAGAUAGCAUAACUCUUGCACACAUGAUGGCUUAGUAAAUAGUUGUUGAAUGAAACAGGAUUGAUGUUAUAAAAAUGGACUCUUUCUGGAGUACUCCUUUACUGAGAGGUAGGACCAGGGUUUGAUACAGCACGGGAUUCCUGGGGCUGGUUUAGAAGUGGGGGUGGUAUGGACUAGGGUUGCAGAAUUUGGUGCUAAGGGGAUUCAUAAGACUACUUUAGUAUGAAGCCAGAUAUGAGAAUGAAACAGAUAAUUCAAAAAAAAAAUCAACCAAAGAGACAGCAACCAUGAGUUCAUCAGCAUGGACAGUUGGUUGGGCAGAGAAAUGACUAAAAAGUACAGUUAAAGAGUCUUCUGAAGGCCACUGGAAUAAAAAGAUUAGAACCUCGUUAAAGGAUUACAUGGAAUAAGCUUCUUGUGACACUUUCUUCCUCAUCUAGUAAAACUUCAAACCAGCAUUUGCCAUCAUCUUAGUUCAGAUAUCAUCAACAUGGCUUGGUAUAAGUUCUUAGUAGCUACUCUGGGGGGUCAUCUGCUUUCCUUAACCUUUAAUAUAAGACUUCGAAAAUAUUCUUCCAAUGCUUUGUUGUUAUCUAUAAGAUACUGAAACCCUAGAAACAGGGUGAGGUUAGCAGUUUUCUCUACUUUGGGUCAAACUGAGUGGGGUAGACUAAGCAUUGAUUCUUCUAAUGAGUGACAAACAGCCUGGCCUGCCAGAACUUGAUUAUCAGGGUACGUCUCUUUUGACUUUGAUUUUUGUGUGGAUUCUGGAUCUAGAGAUUAUCAUGAGUUCUGGCAAAAAGAGUUCUAAAUGUAAAUACUUAGUGCAAGUCAUACUUAUUUUUGCUGAAAAACUUUGUGGUUUGAUGUGUCUCUGAGUUCACGAUACUUUGCUUAUGCAAUGAAAUAAUAAUGCCAAGGAGCCUCAUUUGCAAAAUCUUGAAGGUAGUAAACCCAAUACAAUACGUUUUUGAAUUUCUUUUUUUAAAUUAGUUAAUUAAUAUUUCUUGUUUGUGAGAAACUCAGGGCUGAAGAAGACAGUGUUAUUCCCUCUAAGUGCCUACACUCUAUGCUUUGGGCUGCUUAUCCUAUCAGAGCAAUUUGUCUUGAGGGAUCAGUGCUUUCCACAGUUCCAACAAGACCCUACAGUCUAAGAAAAAUAUUAAUAGUGACAUCACAGGUCUCUCAUUCUUUUUGAAGUGUUUCUGUAAAAUGAAAACGAUAAAAAGCACUAGUUGAUGAGUCUGUGUCAAGGACAAAAUGGUAAUUAUUGCCAUUUAUUCUGCAGACCCAGGAGUGCCUCUUCUAAUCCUGGUGUGAAGGAGAAACCAAGAGUGGAAAUGCACAGGAUAAAGUUCCUCACUCCUCCUAGUGCUCCUGACUUUUCAGGCAUGUCUGCCCUCUUGUGGCCAUGAUCCAGAGUCGCUUUAUGGAAGGUGUGACCAGAGAAGAACCAAGGAGCAAGUCUGGGUGGAUUUGCUGUUUUAACUGGGGACUCAUGCUUGCCCAGCAGAACUUUUGGAUGAGGCACCUUAUGCACCUCUGAGGACAAGGGCUCUCUUGUUUUCUAGGCAUAUGCCCGGUGGUGUGAGAAUCGUUUGGAGGAACUCUUAAAGCUAGAUUUUCCCCCGUCUUGGCAUGGACCUACAGUAUCAGGAUCUUUAUGAAAGGGGCCUCCUUCUCCAGGUGAUUCUGAUGCAGAUCCAAGUUGGGAACUUCGGAGACUCAACCCUACAAGAUGAGGUGCAAAUGUCACUCUGACCACUAGAUGUCAGACUUUUACCCUGCACUCCAUGGUUAAGCUACAGAAAACUUAGCCACACCCCUCCCUCUUCUACUUCCCACU